CGGCGUGCCUAAUACAUGCAAGUCGAACGCUUCUUUCCUCCCGAGUGCUUGCACUCAAUUGGAAAGAGGAGUGGCGGACGGGUGAGUAACACGUGGGUAACCUACCCAUCAGAGGGGGAUAACACUUGGAAACAGGUGCUAAUACCGCAUAACAGUUUAUGUCGCAUGGCAUAAGAGUGAAAGGCGCUUUCGGGUGUCGCUGAUGGAUGGACCCGCGGUGCAUUAGCUAGUUGGUGAGGUAACGGCUCACCAAGGCCACGAUGCAUAGCCGACCUGAGAGGGUGAUCGGCCACACUGGGACUGAGACACGGCCCAGACUCCUACGGGAGGCAGCAGUAGGGAAUCUUCGGCAAUGGACGAAAGUCUGACCGAGCAACGCCGCGUGAGUGAAGAAGGUUUUCGGAUCGUAAAACUCUGUUGUUAGAGAAGAACAAGGACGUUAGUAACUGAACGUCCCCUGACGGUAUCUAACCAGAAAGCCACGGCUAACUACGUGCCAGCAGCCGCGGUAAUACGUAGGUGGCAAGCGUUGUCCGGAUUUAUUGGGCGUAAAGCGAGCGCAGGCGGUUUCUUAAGUCUGAUGUGAAAGCCCCCGGCUCAACCGGGGAGGGUCAUUGGAAACUGGGAGACUUGAGUGCAGAAGAGGAGAGUGGAAUUCCAUGUGUAGCGGUGAAAUGCGUAGAUAUAUGGAGGAACACCAGUGGCGAAGGCGGCUCUCUGGUCUGUAACUGACGCUG
rnacentral:rRNA from 1 species